UACGAAGGGGGCUAGCGUUGCUCGGAAUCACUGGGCGUAAAGGGUGCGUAGGCGGGUCUUUAAGUCAGGGGUGAAAUCCUGGAGCUCAACUCCAGAACUGCCUUUGAUACUGAGGAUCUUGAGUUCGGGAGAGGUGAGUGGAACUGCGAGUGUAGAGGUGAAAUUCGUAGAUAUUCGCAAGAACACCAGUGGCGAAGGCGGCUCACUGGCCCGAUACUGACGCUGAGGCACGAAAGCGUGGGGAGCAACAG
rnacentral:rRNA from 1 species